ACCGCCAAAAACUGUCAGUGUUGAAGACUCUCCUUCGCACUUUCACUAGCUGAGUAACGGGUAUCAGAUAGUCGGGGAACUCGACUAUAGCGUUCUAUCUGGUAUUUGUUUUAUUUUUUAUGUUUAACUAACUUGUGAAUUGGUGUGUUUUUGGAAAAAAUUAGGUUUUGUGAUAGCUUGGCUAUUUGUAGGUCUCGAGGGAAUAGGGAAUAGAGGGAAUAUUUUAUUCGUAGAGUAAGUUAUUUGUUGGGGUGGAGCGAGGGCUAGACAGAUUCCGGAGUUGAAUGGUGUUUUUAUUUUGAUUAUAACAAAUUUUUUUGGCUAUGGCCGUUGCCUUCGCGACAUCUAGUAGUGUUUACGUGUUACAAUUCAAUUUAAGACUAGAUAGACAUUUUAUUAUAUUAAGCUUAUUGUGGAGUUUGGGUAGAAGUUUAUGUGUGUGUUCCAUAUAUAUUUAUUGUUUAUGGGCAUUCCAAGAAUUUUUAAGGAAGUAACUGUAGGAAUUUCGAUUUUGUUGCAGCUAAUCUUGCUUUUUACAUACGUGGAGGUAUUUGCAUUUGGAUAGGGAUGCUCCUGAGUGGGAGGCCAAAUUUUCUAUAUCGUUUAAUAGGUUGUCUAAUCUGAAGUUUGUAUUUGUGUUUUUAUCGAAUUUUAUUAUAAGAAAGAAAUCGUCGGCGUAUGCAUUAAAUUUUAUUUGUUUGUAUAGGGAUAUGAUGUUAGAUAGUUUAUUGAGAGCCAUGAAUUGAGGCCUGUUUUCCAUUCCUGCAAUUGGUGGAUUAUGUAGAGCACACCUACUCUACUAAAGGCUCUUAAAAAAUCAAGAGUGACGACGGAGGUGUGCAUUUUUGACUUCGUUAUGCGAUAGUCUACUUUUGUCUUUUUUAAAUCCGAAUUGGUUGUCGUUAAGUAGGUUGUUAUUUGCCACUAGCCAGCCACCAGAGUCUUUUCGCUAUUAUUUUAUCUAACGAUAUUAAACAACAGUUGAGAGAGAUGGGUCGGUAUGAACAAGUUUUUGUUUUGUCGGUGUUCGAUUUGGUAUGUGGCUACUGAAUAUUUUAUUACAUAGUUUUGUUGUUCUGCUUUUUGUUGUGGGGGAGCUAGUUUUUAUCAUUCGAUAUGAAAUUCUAUUAAGUCCAGGAGCAGAUCCAUUUAAUGUUUGUAGGGCUGAGAUAAGUUAUGUUUUCUUCUAUGGCUUGGGAAAUUGGGGAGGGGGUAUAGUUAUGUAGGUUAUUUCUAUAUUUAAUGUUUCGGAACUCCUCUAAAAAGUUCAAUUCGCCGGAGAGGUUAAAAAAGUAUUGUGCAAAUAUGUUAGCAAAUUCGUUCCCAGUUGGCUUCUUUUAGUUUAAAAAAGGGUCUGCUGAAUUUUUGUAUAUUGGUUGUUGGGAAUAGGGUCGUGAUAAUAAGUAAAUGGUCGCUACCAUGAAGGUAGUAGUAUUUUAAACUUGGCGUGAAGGCUAGGAUUGGAGGUCGAUGUGUGUGUAAGUUUGUGUGUUGAAAAGUGUGAGUAGAUUUGUCGUUUAGCAGAAUAAGUGGCGUAUUGUCAAUGAAACUUUGAGUUAUUUUCCUUCGUGUAGUUGUUGUUGGGGAGCCCCAGGAUGGGUGCCAUCCAUUAAAAUCUCCCGUAAUUAGAAAGGGUAUUGGUUGUAUAUUAAAUGUGUUUUGUAGUGUCCGGUUAGUAAUGAUUUGGUCGGAGAAAUGUACGUGGUAAAUAUGUUUAAUUUUAGUUUAGAUUGUAUAUUUAUGGCUUUUGCUUCUAUAUCGCUUAUGACGUUGAGGACAGUGUACUGAAUUCACUUGUGCUACGCCCCCAAAUCUGUUGGUGGCUAUAUUUGUUAAUAGUUUGUAGUUGAUUGGGGAUAGAAUGUUAUUAAUGUAUUGUAUGUGUGUUUCUUGAAGCGAAGUUAUGUGAGGAGCGUUUUUUUUUUAUGAGAAUAAGGAGUUGGCUGUAGUUGUUUACAUAUCCUUCUUAAUUUCCAUUGGAUUAUAGUUAGGGACAUUUGUGGGGAGAUGAAAUAUGAAACCUAACUUAAGGGUGGUGUUAAUGAUUUAGGUUUAAGUUUGUUGAUUUUGUUUAGAGCUUUGGCCUUUAUUUUGGGUGCUUUGAAGUUAGUAGAUAGUUUAUUAGACUUAUCUUUCGGGAAGAUUUUUAAUUUUAGGUCUUCUGUGCGUUGUGAUAAGUAUGACGUAGAUGGUUUUCUGGUAGGUGUGGGGUCAGUGUCUAUGUCUUCUAGUUUGUCGUAGCCGUGAUGGUGAUGGUGUGGGAGCGGUUGGUUUAUUAGUAGAGUUGUUUUGGGUGAGUUGUUUAUGUUCGGUUACUGUUACUUCCACAUCUGCGAUUUUUGUUAGUUUCAGGAAUUUCUGGCUUUUAAUUCGUUUUUGGUUUUUAUUAUUAGGCUCUCCGUCUCCUGUUAGUUUUCAUCCCUCAACUUCUCCUCCACAGGCAAAGUCCACAGAUUUCGUACAAUAAAUGGUAAUACUCUUUCAAAAGAGUUGUUAUCUUUCCUUUUAAUAACAAUAAAUUUUGGGUUGCCUAAUUGGGAUUGGUAUGAUUUUGAGGUAAUUUUGUAAAUGUCUGGUGGGUCUGUCAUAAUAGUUUUUUAAGGGUUUGAGCCCGGGCUAGAGGUCUUGGUGUUUUUGUUCUUGUGUUUUUUUUUCUCUUUGUGUUUGAUAUUUGUAUAUGCCAAAUUCUGCUGAUAAGAGUUUUGGGUUUACGCGAAACAAGACUUUAAACUGUAGUGACACGACUUAUCUGUUCGGAGGUUGAAGUGGUACUUCAUUGAUUUAAAUAGUUAUAGUUCAUUUUAAUAGUUAUAUUAUAUUAUUUAAAACAAUACAAUUCUAAUAAAGCAAAGAAGCUAGUCGCUUUUUUGUUACGGAACUGCUUCUUUCCUUGAGGGCUAGCACCAGAUCUCAGGAUGGACUUCCCCUAAUGCCAUGCCAGGCUGUACAACCUAUUUUUGAUAACUUAAAACGUCUUACAGGAUUCUUCGUUACCAUCGUUAUCCAAAAGAAAUAACAAUAAUGAAAUAAUCAAACAUAAACCUAUUCCUGAUUUAAAAUGUGAUGAUGUUGGUGGCUUGGAUGGUUAUUUACGGUGCCCUAAUUUCCCAGCUUCUGAAAUUCGGCUGUCCCUCCCACAUCUGCAUACUGUCGUCUGAAGCUGCAGCAUGUAAGUAGCCGACUCCCAGCUCAGUGGAACAUUGCUUACCAGCUGGAGCCAGCGAGUGGGAAAGGGAAAUAACUUACUUUAAAACACAUUCACUGUGAAAGUGGGGACCAAUGGCUAAACACUUUGAAGUCUGCAAUUUUCAAAUCUGAGCUCCGGUUUUCGAAUUCAUAAAAUUUAGGCGAUUUUUAAGACGAGAACCUUUGUCUGGCAGAAAUGAAAAGUAAAUACCUUAUUUAUAUCAAACAGAUCUUAUUUACUACGGCAAAAAUUGUAUACUCAGUGGUCUGUUGAUGUUUAUAUCACCUCAAUACAAGAUCAGUCUGCGACUUAGUUAUAUUAUAAAAAAUUUAGUUGUGACCCCAGGCAGGUAAAAAUACUCAUAAAAUAUAAAAUAAUUCAUUAAUUUUAAGAAGGGCCAAAGGUGUUGUUUGUAAUUAAUGCUAUAUAAUUUAAUUACUUAAAUAGUCAAAAGGGAGUAAAAAAGUAAUUUCGAACAUCGAAUUUAAAACUGUGUAAAAGGUUACCGCUCUAGAUUUUCCUAAGCCCAGUAAUUUCUGGCUACUCCUGGUUUCAAAACAAGCAAUUGCAUAUAAAAGGUAUAUUUUCACGUUGUUGUUUAGACAAAAAAAAUAAAAUUUUGAAAAGAAAAAAAUAAGUCAGCUGUUUGAGCAGCAAGAAACGAUGAGAAACCGAACCAUAUUAUAGCAUUACUUUAGAGAACAUUUUGCGAAGAGCACUUAAAAACGAAAUCAGAAGAUUUUGCCAAAAUCGAAUUUAAAAUCAAAUUACAAGUACCGGAGCAUGCCUCUAUAAAACAGAGGAUUUAAUUCGAGUAAAUAUUAAAAUCUUAUCCAGGCAUGCUCCGGCAUGCAGGGAGCUCGUAAAAGUACUAGGUGCUAUGGUGCCGCCUUGCGCUUUGAAAAUGUCAACCUGUUUGCUUCAGCAGUAAGUUUUUCAGAAUUUUUUUUUUAUCAACAGCAACAACAAGAAAAACGGCUGAUUCAGCUACUCGAAAUUUUGUUAAUUAUUUUGACAUGUACAAAUGUGGCGCACAAAUAUUAUUUCUUAUGUAUAAUAUAUGAAAGCAACUAAUGGAGUAGCUCUUAUUGCUCACUGCCUUUAAAAUUCUUUGAAUAUUGCAGACCAAUAUUGAUGGUCAAAAACGCACUCAACGAGAACAGCGAUAUAAUGUAUUUUUUUUAUGUAUUGUAAAUGCCCCCCAUGUCGGGGUCAGCAAAAUGAUGGGCUUAUAAGCUUUUUCAUUAGCUGGUUUUUGCGCAAUAAAACGACGAUUUAUGUGUGUUACAGUUUUUAAAAA